CCACUUGGAAACAGGUGCUAAUACCGAAUAAAAAGUAGAAUCGCAUGAUUCAACUAUAAAAGGCGGCGUAAGCUGUCGCUAAAGGAUGGACCCGCGGUGCAUUAGCUAGUUGGUAAGGUAAAGGCUUACCAAGGCAAUGAUGCAUAGCCGAGUUGAGAGACUGAACGGCCACAUUGGGACUGAGACACGGCCCAAACUCCUACGGGAGGCAGCAGUAGGGAAUCUUCCACAAUGGACGCAAGUCUGAUGGAGCAACGCCGCGUGAGUGAAGAAGGUUUUCGGAUCGUAAAGCUCUGUUAUUGGUGAAGAAAGGUAGAGAGAGUAACUGCUCUUUAUUUGACGGUAAUCAAUCAGAAAGUCACGGCUAACUACGUGCCAG
rnacentral:rRNA from 1 species